GGACCCGCACAAGCGGUGGAUUAUGUGGAUUAAUUCGAUGCAACGCGAAAAACCUUACCUACCCUUGACAUGUCGCAAAGCCCGAUGAGAGUUGGGUGUGUCCGAAAGGAAAUGCGAACACAGGUGCUGCAUGGCUGUCGUCAGCUCGUGUCGUGAGAUGUUGGGUUAAGUCCCGCAACGAGCGCAACCCUUGCCAUUAGUUGCUUCAUUCAGUUGGGCACUCUAAUGGGACUGCCGGUGACAAACCGGAGGAAGGUGGGGAUGACGUCAAGUCCUCAUGGCCCUUAUGGGUAGGGCUUCACACGUAAUACAAUGGCGCGUACAGAGGGUUGCGAAACCGCGAGGUGGAGCCAAUCCCGACAAAGCGCGUCGUAGUCCGGAUUGCAGUCUGCAACUCGACUGCAUGAAGUCGGAAUCGCUAGUAAUCGCGGAUCAGCAUGUCGCGGUGAAUACGUUCCCGGGUCUU
rnacentral:rRNA from 1 species